CCCGUCGCGGCGUGCAUCAGUCGGCCACUUUCUUGUGAUCUGUUGUGCGCCGUAACCGUUGCGAGCCACUGGGCCACCGGAGUGGUCCCUUGCGAACAUUUAGCGAGUGCGCGUUGGCGGCACGCUCCAGCCUUCUCUUGUUCCCAGAACGAACAGCUGUCUGAUCGAUCUUCGCUCCCCUGUGCAGUCUCUGGCGUCGGCAGCAUACCUGCUGUUUUGUUCCCAAAGGCAAUGACUAGACUGAAAGGAGUUCCUCAGUGACCAGUUGCAGCGCCACUCUCCUUAGGGGAGGUCGGGCAUUUCAAAGUACCUUGGCCGUUCAGUAGCCUUGCAUGCGCGUUUGUUCCAGUGGAGGCACCUGAUCCGGGAGAUUGUGUCUCGACACUCGGAGGGGACAGUCCAGCGGAAAGUGGAAAAAAAGGGAAUGUUUUUGCCACAAGCCUGAAGCUUACGCGCACGCAACCCAAUCCAAGCGCUCCAGAGGGGUUCCCGCGCUGCGAUCCCCGCUGUUGCGCCAACCCGUGAUGGUGUCGUGUGGCGACACGACGAGCAGAGCUGGGACUUGGUGCCUUUUUGUUAACCGUCUAUGACUUGAGACUGGGCGCGCUCUCCAUAUCGCUGGAGACACGCCAAGUCUGUGUUGGGGCAGACUGUCAACACCGUGGAAGUGGUGUACUAGGUCUUUUGGAAGGCGGAGAGACUGAAAAGAAAACGUUCUCUACGCUCGUACAGGCGAUCCAAGACGUUUUGAGUACGAUCUAGCACCGUGAGUUGAGGAAAAUGAAAGAGUGAUACUGGUUCUGUUUAGCGGACGAACCUCGCCGAGCCGAAACGAAGUUUGGCAAGCGGGCGGUAGAGACAUGUGUUAUUUGAAGAGGCUGCUUCAUGCGUUCAUCAUGCGGUGUAAGUGAACAGCAGAUACCGUCUGCGUGUGAGAAGAGGAACGCAAGA
rnacentral:lncRNA from 1 species